rnacentral:rRNA from 1 species
UGGGGAAUUUUGGACAAUUGGGCGAAAGCCUGAUCCAGCAAUGCCGCGUGUGUGAAGAAGGCCUUCGGGUUGUAAAGCACUUUUGUCCGGAAAGAAAUCCUUGGCUCUAAUACAGUCGGGGGAUGACGGUACCGGAAGAAUAAGCACCGGCUAACUACGUGCCAGCAGCCGCGGUAAUACGUAGGGUGCAAGCGUUAAUCGGAAUUACUGGGCGUAAAGCGUGCGCAGGCGGUUUGCUAAGACCGAUGUGAAAUCCCCGGGCUCAACCUGGGAACUGCAUUGGUGACUGGCAGGCUAGAGUAUGGCAGAGGGGGGUAGAAUUCCACGUGUAGCAGUGAAAUGCGUAGAGAUGUGGAGGAAUACCGAUGGCGAAGGCAGCCCCCUGGGCCAAUACUGACGCUCAUGCACGAAAGCGUGGGGAGCAAACAGGAUUAGAUACCCUGGUAGUCCACGCCCUAAACGAUGUCAACUAGUUGUUGGGGAUUCAUUUCCUUAGUAACGUAGCUAACGCGUGAAGUUGACCGCCUGGGGAGUACGGUCGCAAGAUUAAAACUUAAAGAAUUGACGGGGUCAUAGCUGUUUCCU